rnacentral:miRNA from 1 species
GCAGCAUCAUUAAGAUUCACA